rnacentral:sRNA from 1 species
GGAAAUGGUGACCUUUGUCUGCCGAGUUCAUGAGUCUAGCCCUGCCCAGCUGGCUGGGCUCACACCAGGGGACACCAUCGCCAGCGUCAAUGGCCUGAAUGUGGAAGGCAUCCGGCAUCGAGAGAUUGUGGACAUCAUUAAGGCGUCAGGCAAUGUUCUCAGGUAUGUCUGGGAGCCGAGGUGCCUGAAUUCCUGAGCUCAGCCUCUUGGUAUUUCCUCAGCCUGUGGCUCACUCAGCCUUUGAUUCCCCAACCUCAGACUGGAAACUCUAUAUGGGAC